rnacentral:lncRNA from 1 species
AUGAAAUCUGUGAGAAUCUUUAGUUCUAAGACCAUGUUUGCAGUUAAACAUGAGCAGUUAUCACCCAUUUUCCUUGCAGCUUGUCUACAUGUAGCCUGUGUGGUACAGCAGAAAGAUGCCAGGCAGUGGUUUGCUGAGCUUUCUGUGGAUAUGGAGAAGAUUUUGGAAAUAAUCAGGGUUAUUUUAAAACUAUAUGAGCAGUGGAAGAAUUUCGAUGAGAGAAAAGAGAUGGCAACUAUUCUUAGUAAGAUGCCAAAACCAAAACCACCUCCAAACAGAAAUUCCCUGAGUGAUUCUCCACUAGUGGCAGGGCCUGAAGCUGCAAGAUGAUGGUGGAGAAGAUAAGGCAAUAAUCCUAUUGCCACAGUUACUG